rnacentral:lncRNA from 1 species
GUGCAACAACACGGAUCAAGCCAUCCUUUCUCAGGGACACAUCCCGCCGCAGAGGUGUUCGAAAUCCAUAGGACCACAGCCCUUUUCCCGUGGACGCAGAAAGUGGAAUCGGAACUCAAGGAGGCUCGGGUGAAAGAAGGUGAAUAAGAAGGAUGGAGCUGCAGGCAGCAAACAGGAAGAGAGAGGAAAGGAGAAGGAAGGCUUCAGGAGAGGGUGCCCAGGACGACGGAGAAGGGGGCAGUUAUUUCUUACGAUCCUGCUCCGCCUUUCCACCUCUGAUGCCGGACGUGUAUCCUGAGACGAGCACGCAGAUGAGCUCAGUCCACGUCAUUCCUGGUCCCAGCGUGCCUCCCUGCUCCGCGGGGCAGCGGUGCCAGCAUUCUGCUGACUCCCCUGCCCCUGCAGCUCCCUGCAUGACUUACGUCUGUCAGGCAGGAGCUGCGAAGUGAGUCUGGGAGCAGUGAGUGGGCAAAGCAAGUCGUUGGCCUCAAGUCGGGACAGUGGACCGUGGGAAGCACAGGACAGCUGGUCGACUCAGAAGCUUCGUGAUCAUGGUGGAGGCGUGGUGCUUCUGGCCUGAGCAGCUCUCUUAGCUGGCCUGCUCUUCCAUGUUCAGACAGUGCACCUGGAGUCCUUCCGAUGGUGUUACGAGCUGUCAGUAACCAUACCUAUCGCUCCUUUUGCAUAAAUUAGCCAGAGGAUCCUACCAUUUGCAACCCCAAAACCCACAGACGGGUACAGAUGUUAACUGGGACGCCGUCACCCACAGCUGAAUAGUGGCUUUCUGGAAUGAUGCACUGGAAGGACAUCGCAGGCUGCCUCUAGGCUGCGGGAGAACGCCCACUCCGACGCCGGGGCUUCUGUUAUGGCAGCAAGAGAGAAGAAGGCAUUUGUGCUAGACUCCUGCCAUCUGUGGUUGAGACAAUUGACAGAACUGCGUCUUUCCUCUUUUGUUUUGUGGUCAUACCGUCAUGUGUACGGGAUCUUCUGCUAAGGCAUUGACUUUGUCGGGUAACUCUGGAAAUCGGAGAUUUUAGACCUAUUUCUUUACACCGAAUCUGUAGAAAUAGAAGCUGCAAUUGUCUUUGAUGUCAAGGGUUGAAUAAUUGUUGAUGUAACUUUUUGAAGAAUGUAAAUGCCCGGUUGAAAAUUUCUUGCUUGGCAAAGAUAAAGAAGAUUCAGAAUAUUUACAUUCCAGUAUACAUUUUCACUAUAUAUGUCCCUAUGUGUUACCGUAUGUAUGUAUUACAUUUGAGAAGUAUUACAAACAAAGUGGCUACAGAGAAGGAAUGAAGAUCUUGCUCGAAUUUAAAUCUGUAUAGAUUCUAUUUCUUACAAUAAUAAGUUCCCUUUACUAGUCAGUAGUUUAAAAUAAAAUUCGGUUUAAUCCUCUAUAGUUUGGUGCU